GGGGAACUCAAAAUAGAGGAAGGAAAGAAGCCUGAGGUUCCUCUCCAGGUGCUGGAGCUUGUCCGCCAGAAACGCCUGGCUGUAGGUCUUCAUGCCUAGGACCAGAAGUGGUGGUGACACCCUUAUCGUGUCCCUCUCCAGCGGCAUGAGGAGAUAGUCAUCCCUGGAGGACCCCGCCUGAUCCCCUGGGAGCCCUGGGCCAUUUCCCUCUCAUGAUCCAUUAAAUCCCUUUAGCAGAGCUGCACUCUGUGUG